rnacentral:rRNA from 1 species
UUCUAUGCCUGUACGAACCUGAACAUGUCCAAUCUCAUUCGAUCUCGGAAGCUAGGCAGGGUCUGGCCUGGUUAGUACUUGGAUAGGGGGAGAGUCAGUGCCUUAUUCU